rnacentral:rRNA from 1 species
UACGUAGGGGGGCAAGCGUUGUCCGGAAUUAUUGGGCGUAAAGCGCGCGCAGGCGGCCUUGUAAGUCUGUCGUUUAAACUCGGAGCUCAACUCCGAGUCGCGAUGGAAAACUGCAAAGCUUGAGUGCAGAAGAGGAAAGUGGAAUUCCACGUGUAGCGGUGAAAUGCGUAGAGAUGUGGAGGAACACCAGUGGCGAAGGCGACUUUCUGGGGCUGUAACUGACGCUGAGGCGCGAAAAGCGUGGGGGGAGCAAACAGG